CUUAGAAGCAUAGUACCAAACUUGUAUAAGCAAUACUAUCCAGGACUGGUAGACCUUUGACAGCUAGCUCUCGACUGAACCAGUUAGGACCCUUGUGAAGUGUGAUGAGCUCACCCUAGAGGGUAUCAAACAAUUCUUUGUUGCUGUUAAGAAAGAGGAGUGAAAGUUUGAUACGCUUUGUGAUCUUUAGGGUGGAUUGGUUUGCUAAAAAAAUGUGCACCAAUAACUUCACGAUAUUAGCUAUGCACAGUGACAUGCCCCAACAAGAAAGGGAUGCAAUUAUGGGUGAGUUUUAAGUCCGGCGCAACUCAUGUGCUGAUAACUACGGAUGUUUGGGCUCGAGGAUUGGACGUUCAGCAGGCAAGAAUUUGGACAUUUUUUUAUUUGAACCAUCUUUUAUACUGUUUGAGAAUGGCCUAAGUGAACAUGUCAUGUUUCUAUGUGUUUAUAUAUUAUUUGCUAACGCUUGAGAUAUUGACUAAAUUUCUUUCAUUUCCAUGUUUCACUUGUCAUAAAUUGUCAUCUCCCAAAUAAUCGUGAACUUUACAUCCAUCGCAUUGGUCGUUCUGGCCGUUUUGGAAGCAAGAAUCUGAAGGAUCUGCUGCUCCCCUGCCCCUUCCGACCUCUUCUAGCCCGCUACGGGGGAGCACGUGCCGGUCGAGGGCGGUCGAGCACGCGAUAGAGAUGGAGGCACCGGUGCCCGCGCCGGCUACCAUGAAUCUGGGGCAAGGGGGCAGAGGAUCUGGAGGCGGUGAUUGCGCGGCUUCGCCUACCUGUCUUCCUGCUGCCUACUUCUACUCGCGCUCGCACCAACCAAAGGAGCAAUCCCGCAGCUGAUGCCCCCAUAAAGGGUCUAGAGGGAAGGCGACGCCGGGAGACGGGGAAGGAGACACGGUGACCAUGUCUCAGAUCUGGGUGUUCGAGUACAGCUCGCUGAUCUGGAACCAGGCAUCACCCACGAUGCCCGCGUCGUCGGCUUCGUCUGGGACUACCACCACGUCUUCU